CACAUACAUGCCUUAAUGAUAAGCUGAGCAAAGCUAAGCUAACUGUUUUCUUGCUUUAGCUUAAUGUUAAAUGAAGUGCUACCAAUCUUCUUAGCCAUCAGCCAGAUACCACAUGGAACCCUUACGGUAUCCCUGAAGCAGAUUCGCCCUGCCGCUCCUGCCAGCCGACAACACUGCAGUACGUAAACGCUCGACAAUGGCGGUCCCCUCCAGGGAUUGCUGCUGCAGUCGGGUUGAUAAACAGGAGUGAAGAAUCCGGUUUUUAAAUCCAAAAGUAACACACACACCACAAGCGUGACUGGUGGGGUUCGCACUUCGCCUGCAGUGCUUGCGGCCGCUUCAUCUCUAAUAAGGCCUUUAAUUGCCCUCCAUCAUGGCUUUUUCAUGGACAUGGCCAGCAGCAACAAAGCCGUCUCCCACCAGCGCUCCUCUCCAUCCCGAGCCAAUUAACGAUUCUCCUCCUAGGAUGUCCUGAUCAGGCCGGGCAGAGAGCUGCUCAGCCCAGGUUGACAACUGUUCCCUCUCCCUCCCCUCCCUCCACCCAUCCAUCCCAUGCCGCAUCCUCAGCACUCUCCCUCUCCUCUGCGCCCAACCGCGUGAUUUAAUUUGUUUGGUAAUAUCAGGAUUGGCAUGUUCAGCCCAGCUUCACUCCAAAGUGAAAUUGGACAAGGGCAUUGGAGCCUCACCAUGUAAAACCGCCUCACCUUGACAGCUGCUUGAGUGGGCAGCGGAUUGCAGGAGAGAGUGGAGGGGGGAGGGAGGACAGGAGA